CGGGGCUCGGGAGUCUCCGGGAAAACUGAGUCAGGCCUGAGUCAGGGCGGGAAAGGCAGCGGUCACUUCCUGACCCUGGGACCCGGUCACCGAGCCCGGGAAGGGCGCGGCCAGCGCGGGCUUUUGCAGAUCCUCUUUACUACAGAAGAGAGGGAAAGAAUCCAGACUGAAGCUCAUAAGCUAGUCCCAGGAGUUGGUGGGACCCCAACCAACAACCAGGCUAUACUAGAUGCGAGCUUCCCUCUGACUAGGCUUGACUGGGAUUUCAACACGGCAGAAGCCCGGGACAAAGAAGUGUGGCCACGCUUGCAGGCCAUCUAUGAGACUGGACCACUGCCAUCACCCCACAACUACCAACCGGGGGAUUGGGUCUUCGUGCACCACCAUAGCCACGAGACCUUCGAAUCUUGUGGAAGGGACCCUACAUGGUUAUCCCUACAUGGACCACCUCCACAGCUGUUAAAGUCGACAGCAUUGCCAUUUGGAUUCAUCACACCCAUGUCCGUUUAGCAGACCCCUGGCUCAGCCCGAAGACUACAAGCCACAAUGGAAGAUGGACCAGAAAUGCAGCGCCCCACUCAAAUGAAACCUUCGCCGAGAUGGGCUGCAAUAAUUCUUCUACUUCUGCUCGAGCUGCCCUUGCUGGUAGGCAACCCACUCCAGCCUGUUAACCUCACUUGGUUGAUUAUUAGUACCGCCUCAGGUAACAUCGUUAAUAGUUCAUCCCUAGUGUCCCUGAAGGGUGCCUGGUGGCCUACCCUACAGUUUGAUUUGUGCCGGUUGGCUGCUGGCAAUUGGGACAUAGGAGAUUGGGAUUUAGAAACAAAAGGGAGACCUGAAUGUAAUAAAAAUGGUAAAGUAGGACAGGGUUGUACCCUACAACCACCAGCCUCAGGGGGGGGACCUGGAUGUAGUCAUGUAAUUAAGAGAGCCAGACUUCUCCAAACCCCUUUUUAUGUCUGUCCAGGAUGGGAUGGAUCUAGGAAACAAAUCCAACAAUGUGGGGGGGAAGAACACUUUUAUUGUUACAAAUGGGGAUGUGAAUCUACCGGGAGCAUCUCAUGGCGACCACCAGUUACAACUGACAAGAUUCAGGUCUCCCGAGUGCCACAGGCACGAUUGUCUAUCAACCCCCUAUACGGGCGAUGUACACAAUUCCUGUGCAAUCCUGUCCAGAUAAAAUUUACGGAACAAGGUAAAGCAGAUACUGAUUGGGAAGCAGGAAAGACCUGGGGACUCAGGCUAUAUAAGUCUGGUUAUGAUGAUGGUCUGUUAUUCACCAUUAAACUGAAAGUUGAACCUGUCAGGGACCUCCAGCCCCUAUAGGACCUAACCAGGUUCUGGCACCCAAAUCCAAUAGCCCAUUCCCUAACAAGGACCCAUGAUUGGGCUCCCCAUAGUUACUAGAAGAGGGGGGAAAUGAAGGACCAAACUAGAGUGACACCAUGACAGGCCUUAGAAGGCCUAAGUUUUGUUUUUGUUUUUUUUUCCUAGUUAAGACACAACAGUUGCUGGAAAAACCACAAACUGCCCCACACCCAUAGUACGGACCAAUCAGAAAGGGCCACUUAGAUGUUAUACAUUCCUGUGGUCAUAGAUACGUUUGUUCCUCAGCUGCAAUGUAACCAAUCAUUUUGUAACAUGUGUAUUCUUGCUAAAUGUCAGCCAAUCCUGUAACUACCAAUUCCCUUUUCCCUGUUUGAACCCCAAUAAAAGCCUCUCCCAACUGCCAUUCAGGGCUCUUGGACGGACCCACUGUGUUGGUGAUGUCUUGAGCCCGAGCUUAAGCCCAAAAUAAAGCUCUUUGCUGUUGCA